rnacentral:misc_RNA from 1 species
UCCGGCUUAACGCCGGCAGUCUCACUAGAGUACCCAACCGAAUUGCUGGCAACUAAUGAUAAGGGUUGCGCUCGUUGCGGGACUUAACCCAACACCUCACGGCACGAGCUGACGACAGCCAUGCAGCACCUAUAUAGCGGCCCUUUCGGGAGACCCUCUUUCAAGGGCUGUCCUCUACAUUUCGAGCCUGGGUAAGGUUCUGCGCGUUGCAUCGAAUUAAACCACAUGUUCCACUGCUUGUGCGGGCCCCCGUCAAUUCUUUUGAGUUUCACCCUUGCGAGCGUACUCCUCAGGCGGUAUACUUAUCGCGUUAGCUACGACACAGUCAGGGUUGAGUCCAACUACAUCAAGUAUACAUCGUUUACGGCAAGGACUAC